UUCCUACGGGACGCAGCAGUGAGGAAUAUUGGUCAAUGGGCGAGAGCCUGAACCAGCCAAGUCGCGUGAAGGAUGACGGCCCUACGGGUUGUAAACUUCUUUUGUCAGGGAGCAAUUGAGUCCACGUGUGGGCUUAGCGAGAGUACCUGAAGAAAAAGCAUCGGCUAACUCCGUGCCAGCAGCCGCGGUAAUACGGAGGAUGCGAGCGUUAUCCGGAUUUACUGGGCGUAAAGGGAGCGCAGGCGGCGCGCCAAGUCUGAUGUGAAACCCCGGGGCUCAACCCCGGGCAUGCACUGGAAACUGGC
rnacentral:rRNA from 1 species